rnacentral:lncRNA from 1 species
UUUGGCAAGCCAUAAUGAACUGCUCCUUUCCCAGGUACAAACGUAUCUACUGUAAACCGGAAUACUUCAAGGUCCCACCACACUCUGAAUACCCCCAGAUUUAUGCCUCUCUGAGAGCUGCUGCCUCCUGCACAAGCACCAGGACAUCUGCCCUUCUGUUGGACACUGCCACCAAAAUUCUGGAACACACACAGGCCAACAUUUCUCAGUGGUUUGUGAAACAGUGGAGAAGAAUGCCUUUGCAUUUACAUUUACACUUUGCAUUAGAUGUUGGCAAAUCAAUAAUGGCUAGCUCUUCAAAGAGGCUUGGGUUCAUAUAUGAAUACACGACUAGUGUAACUUCACAACAUGUACAACCAUAAGAAUGGGAAGUUAUAAUCCAAGUAUAUGUCAAAAUACAUUCUACUGUCAUGUAUAGCU